UACGUAGGAGGCGAGCGUUGUCCGGAGUUACUGGGCGUAAAGGGUGCGCAGGUGGCACUUCAAGUCUGUCGUCAAAGACUGGGGCUUAACCCUGGAAAGGCGGUGGAAACUGAAGCGCUAGAGUGCGGUAGGGGUAGAGGGAAUUCCCGGUGUAGCGGUGAAAUGCGUAGAGAUCGGGAAGAACAUCGGUGGCGAAAGCGCUCUACUGGACCGCAACUGACACUCAGGGACGAAAGCUAGGGGAGCGAAUGGG
rnacentral:rRNA from 1 species